rnacentral:rRNA from 1 species
UACGGAGGGUGCAAACGUUGCUCGGAAUCAUUGGGCGUAAAGCGCACGUAGGCGGUCUGUUAAGUCGGAUGUGAAAGCCCUCGGCUCAACCGAGGAAGUGCAUACGAAACUGGCGGACUUGAAUAUGGAAGAGGGUCGCGGAAUUCCCGGUGUAGAGGUGAAAUUCGUAGAUAUCGGGAGGAACACCAGUGGCGAAGGCGGCGACCUGGGCCAAUAUUGACGCUGAGGUGCGAAAGCGUGAGGAGCAAACAGG